rnacentral:rRNA from 1 species
AGAGUUUGAUCCUGGCUCAGGAUGAACGCUAGCGGCAGGCCUAACACAUGCAAGUCGAGGGGCAGCACAGGUAGCAAUACUGGGUGGCGACCGGCGCACGGGGNNNNNNNNNNNNNNNNNNNUACCUUUAACAGGAGGAUAGCCCCGAGAAAUCGGGAUUAAUACUCCAUAUCAUUUAUGAAUCGCAUGGUUUAUAAAUAAAAGUUCCGGCGGUUACAGAUGGGCAUGCGUGACAUUAGCUAGUUGGUAAGGUAACGGCUUACCAAGGCUACGAUGUCUAGGGGUUCUGAGAGGAUGAUCCCCCACACUGGUACUGAGACACGGACCAGACUCCUACGGGAGGCAGCAGUGAGGAAUAUUGGUCAAUGGGCGCAAGCCUGAACCAGCCAUCCCGCGUGCAGGAUGACGGCCCUAUGGGUUGUAAACUGCUUUUAUACACCAAGAAAAACAUCCACGUGUGGGUGCCCGACGGUAGUGUAUGAAUAAGCAUCGGCUAACUCCGUGCCAGCAGCCGCGGUAAUACGGAGGAUGCAAGCGUUAUCCGGAUUCAUUGGGUUUAAAGGGUGCGUAGGCGGCUUUUUAAGUCAGUGGUGAAAUCCUGCCGCUUAACGGUAGAAUUGCCAUUGAUACUGAAAAGCUUGAGUACAUUUGAGGUAAGCGGAAUGUGUAGUGUAGCGGUGAAAUGCUUAGAUAUUACACAGAACACCAAUUGCGAAGGCAGCUUACUAAACUGAUACUGACGCUGAUGCACGAAAGCGUGGGGAGCGAACAGGAUUAGAUACCCUGGUAGUCCACGCCGUAAACGAUGCUCACUCGCUGUUUGCGAUACACAGCAAGCGGCCAAGCGAAAGCAUUAAGUGAGCCACCUGGGGAGUACGAUCGCAAGGUUGAAACUCAAAGGAAUUGACGGGGGCCCGCACAAGCGGAGGAACAUGUGGUUUAAUUCGAUGAUACGCGAGGAACCUUACCUGGGCUUAAAUGUAGAGCGACAGAUUGUGAAAGCAGUCCUUCUUCGGACGAUCUACAAGGUGCUGCAUGGUUGUCGUCAGCUCGUGCCGUGAGGUGUCGGGUUAAGUCCCAUAACGAGCGCAACCCUUAUCGUUAGUUGCCAGCGGAUCAUGCCGGGGACUCUAGCGAGACUGCCACCGUAAGGUGUGAGGAAGGUGGGGAUGACGUCAAAUCAGCACGGCCCUUAUGUCCAGGGCUACACACGUGUUACAAUGGCCGAUACAAAGGGCAGCUACCAGGUGACUGGAUGCUAAUCUCCAAAGUCGGUCUCAGUUCGGAUCGAAGUCUGCAACCCGACUUCGUGAAGCUGGAUUCGCUAGUAAUCGCAUAUCAGCCAUGAUGCGGUGAAUACGUUCCCGGGCCUUGUACACACCGCCCGUCAAACAAUGGAAGCUGGGGGUACCUGAAGUCUGUAACCGCAAGGAGCGGCCUAGGGUAAAACUAGUAACUGGUGUUAAGUCGUAACAAGGUAACC